rnacentral:rRNA from 1 species
AGAGUUUGAUCCUGGGCUCAGAACGAACGGCUGGCGGGCAGGCUUAACACAUAGCAAGUUGAGCGGGGAUUGAUUGGUAGCUUGCUAUUGAUCAUGAGAGCAGCGCACUGGUGAGUAACACGUGGGAACAUACCUUUUGGUGGGGGACAACAGAGGGAAACUUCUGCUAAUACCGCAUAAGCCCUGAGGGGAAAGAUUUAUUGCCGAAAGAUUGGCCGCGGAAGAUUAGGUAGUUGGUGGGGUAACGGCCUACCAAGCCAACGAUCUAUAGCUGGUCUGAGAGGACGAUCAGCCACAUUGGGACUGAGACACGGCCCAGACUCCUACGGGAGGCAGCAGUGAGGAAUAUUGGGCAAUGGAGGAAACUCUGACCCAGCCAUGCCGCGUGAGUGAAGAAGGUUUUCGGAUUGUAAAGCUCUUUCGGACGUGAAGAUGAUGACGGUAGCGUCUAAAGAAGCCCCGGCUAACUUCGUGCC